rnacentral:rRNA from 1 species
GACGAACGCUGGCGGCGUGCUUAACACAUGCAAGUCGAACGCUGAUGACCUGGCUUUUGUUGGGUUGGAUGAGUGGCGAACGGGUGAGUAACACGUGAGUAACCUGCCCUCUUCUUUGGGAUAACGCCCGGAAACGGGUGCUAAUACUGGAUAUUCACUGGCCUUCGCAUGGGGUUGGUGGAAAGGUUUGUUCUGGUGGGGAGUGGGCUCGCGGCCUAUCAGCUUGUUGGUGGGGUGAUGGCCUACCAAGGC